AACGAACGCUGGCGGCAUGCCUAAUACAUGCAAGUCGAACGAGAUCUUCGGAUCUAGUGGCGCACGGGUGCGUAACGCGUGGGAAUCUGCCCUUGGGUUCGGAAUAACUUCUGGAAACGGAAGCUAAUACCGGAUGAUGACGUAAGUCCAAGGAUUUAUCGCCCAAGGAUGAGCCCGCGUAGGAUUAGCUAGUUGGUGGGGUAAAGGCCCACCAAGGCGACGAUCCUUAGCUGGUCUGAGAGGAUGAUCAGCCACACUGGGACUGAGACACGGCCCAGACUCCUACGGGAGGCAGCAGUAGGGAAUAUUGGACAAUGGGGGAAACCCUGAUCCAGCAAUGCCGCGUGAGUGAUGAAGGCCUUAGGGUUGUAAAGCUCUUUUACCCGGGAUGAUAAUGACAGUACCGGGAGAAUAAGCUCCGGCUAACUCCGUG
rnacentral:rRNA from 1 species